rnacentral:rRNA from 1 species
GACGAACGCUGGCGGCGUGCUUAACACAUGCAAGUCGAACGAUGAAGCUGGAGCUUGCUCUGGUGGAUUAGUGGCGAACGGGUGAGUAACACGUGAGUAACCUGCCCUGGACUCUGGGAUAACCCCGAGAAAUCGGAGCUAAUACCGGAUAGGACCUUGGAUCGCAUGAUCUGGGGUGGAAAGUUUUUCGGUCUGGGAUGGACUCGCGGCCUAUCAGCUUGUUGGUGAGGUAAUGGCUCACCAAGGCGUCGACGGGUAGCCGGCCUGAGAGGGUGACCGGCCACACUGGGACUGAGACACGGCCCAGACUCCUACGGGAGGCAGCAGUGGGGAAUAUUGCACAAUGGGCGCAAGCCUGAUGCAGCAACGCCGCGUGCGGGAUGACGGCCUUCGGGUUGUAAACCGCUUUUAGUAAGGAAGAAGGGGAGCUUGCUCCUUGACGGUACUUGCAGAAAAAGGACCGGCUAACUACGUGCCAGCAGCCGCGGUAACAC